UACGUAGGUGGCAAGCGUUAUCCGGAAUUAUUGGGCGUAAAGAGCGCGCAGGUGGUUAAUUAAGUCUGAUGUGAAAGCCCACGGCUUAACCGUGGAGGGUCAUUGGAAACUGGUUGACUUGAGUGCAGAAGAGGGAAGUGGAAUUCCAUGUGUAGCGGUGAAAUGCGUAGAGAUAUGGAGGAACACCAGUGGCGAAGGCGGCUUCCUGGUCUGCAACUGACACUGAGGCUCGAAAGCGUGGGGAGCAAACAGG
rnacentral:rRNA from 1 species